rnacentral:rRNA from 1 species
AUUGAACGCUGGCGGCAGGCCUAACACAUGCAAGUCGAGCGGAUGAAGGGAGCUUGCUCCUGGAUUCAGCGGCGGACGGGUGAGUAAUGCCUAGGAAUCUGCCUGGUAGUGGGGGAUAACGUCCGGAAACGGGCGCUAAUACCGCAUACGUCCUGAGGGAGAAAGUGGGGGAUCUUCGGACCUCACGCUAUCAGAUGAGCCUAGGUCGGAUUAGCUAGUUGGUGGGGUAAAGGCCUACCAAGGCGACGAUCCGUAACUGGUCUGAGAGGAUGAUCAGUUACACUGGAACUGAGACACGGUCCAGACUCCUACGGGAGGCAGCGGUGGGGAAUAGUGGACUAUGGGCGAAAGCCAGAUCCGGACCUGCCGCGUAUGUGAAGAAGGUCUUCGGAUUGGAGAUGUAUUUUAGUUGGGAGGAAGGGCAGUAAGUUCAUACCGUGCUGUUUUGAAGGUACCAACAGAAUAAGCACCGGCUAACUUCGUG